UUGCCCUUCAAUUCCUUAUUCGUGUCUCAACUGCCAUUAUGACAUAGGCUAUAAACUGAAGGGAACCAUUUGUGCAUUUGAUUUCAUUCUCAAGAUUGACAUCAAGACACUUCCCUAUUCAGGAUAUGUAUAUUCUUGUGGGAAAUUUGCUAUUGUCAAAUUCUACAAAGGUAACAAAUAUGAAUUUGCAUCUGACAUCAGCUACAGUGUGAAAAAGAACUGUAGUUGUGACCAACUAAAAGCUGGUCUAUAUAUCAUACUGGGUGUGAAGGAUCCUAGAAGGAAAAUUGGCUAUAAAUGUGACGUCAUGCAGUUG